GAUGAACGCUGGCGGCGUGCCUAAUACAUGCAAGUCGAGCGAACAGAUAAGGAGCUUGCUCCUUUGACGUUAGCGGCGGACGGGUGAGUAACACGUGGGUAACCUACCUAUAAGACUGGAAUAACUCCGGGAAACCGGGGCUAUCGCCGGAUAAGAUUUAGAACCGCAUGGUUCUAAAGUGAAAGAUGGUUUUGCUAUCACUUAUAGAUGGACCCGCGCCGUAUUAGCUAGUUGGUAAGGUAACGGCUUACCAAGGCAACGAUACGUAGCCGACCUGAGAGGAUGAUCAGCCACACUGGAACUGAGACACGGUCCAGGCUCCUACGGGAGGCAGCAGUGGGGAAUCUUCGGCAAUGGGCGAAAGCCUGACGGAGCAACGCCGCGUGAGUGAAGAAGGUCUUCGGAUCGUAAAACUCUGUUAUUAGGGAAGAACAACUGUGUACGUAACUGUGGACGUCUUGACGGUACCUAAACAGAAAGCCACGGCUAACUACGUG
rnacentral:rRNA from 1 species